GUGGGUAACCUACCUAUAAGACUGGGAUAACUUCGGGAAACCGGAGCUAAUACCGGAUAACAUUUAGAACCGCAUGGUUCUAAAGUGAAAGAUGGUUUUGCUAUCACUUAUAGAUGGACCCGCGCCGUAUUAGCUAGUUGGUAAGGUAACGGCUUACCAAGGCGACGAUACGUAGCCGACCUGAGAGGGUGAUCGGCCACACUGGAACUGAGACACGGUCCAGACUCCUACGGGAGGCAGCAGUAGGGAAUCUUCCGCAAUGGGCGAAAGCCUGACGGAGCAACGCCGCGUGAGUGAUGAAGGGUUUCGGCUCGUAAAACUCUGUUAUUAGGGAAGAACAAAUGUGUAAGUAACUGUGCACAUCUUGACGGUACCUAAUCAGAAAGCCACGGCUAACUACGUGCCAGCAGCCGCGGUAAUACGUAGGUGGCAAGCGUUAUCCGGAAUUAUUGGGCGUAAAGCGCGCGUAGGCGGUUUCUUAAGUCUGAUGUGAAAGCCCACGGCUCAACCGUGGAGGGUCAUUGGAAACUGGGAAACUUGAGUGCAGAAGAGGAAAGUGGAAUUCCAUGUGUAG
rnacentral:rRNA from 1 species